rnacentral:lncRNA from 1 species
UACAAAUACACUAACAAAUGAGCGCUUACAAAUGGAGACUAUUGAAUGUAUUGUUCUCAACACCAAGAAUCCUUAACAAAUCAUUCCUUUUUGAUUUGGAUCCAGCGCAGUGAGAAAAAUAUACCAAGUUUAACCUGGGGCAAUAGUUAUCUCUAUUCAGGUUCUGGGGCAUAUGGUAUCAAAGGAGGAAGCUGAGGAGUCUAUAACAGCUAACACAAUAAAGAAAGAAGUGUAACAACGGUUUCAUUCAAUAAAGAAAGAAGUGUAACAAGAGUUUCAAACAAUAAAGAAAUGUAUCAACGGUUUCAAACAAUAAAGAAAGAAGUGUAACAACGGUUUCAAACAUUCUUCCGUAAAAAACGUUUAAAAGACGUUUAAAAAACGUUUAAAAGACAUUUAAAACGUAACUUUUAAAAACAAAUGCCGUAGGGUUACGUAUAAAACAAGUUCUGAGAUUUGCAAAGUUUAAAAAAAAAUGUGAUUAAAAUUU